UACGUAGGGCGCAAGCGUUGUCCGGAAUUAUUGGGCGUAAAGAGCUCGUAGGCGGUUUGUCGCGUCUGCUGUGAAAACCCGAGGCUCAACCUCGGGCCUGCAGUGGGUACGGGCAGACUAGAGUGUGGUAGGGGAGACUGGAAUUCCUGGUGUAGCGGUGGAAUGCGCAGAUAUCAGGAGGAACACCAAUGGCGAAGGCAGGUCUCUGGGCCACAACUGACGCUGGAGGAGCGAAAAGCGUGGGGAGCGAACAGG
rnacentral:rRNA from 1 species